CGUCUAGCCUGGUUUAGGACGCAGCCCUCAUAAGGCAUUUGUCGGUGGUUCAAAUCCAUCCGUCGCCA
rnacentral:tRNA from 1 species